rnacentral:tRNA from 2 species
UCCAGGUUAGCUCAGUUACUAGAGCUUUCCACUGGAAAUGGAGAGGUCCCUGGUUCGAUAGCAGGACCAGGCC